UCUCGCAGGGCCACAAGGCUGCUCAGAGACGAGAGGUUUCGUACCAACAGCACAGACACUCCAGGGAAAGCUGAGCUGAAGCACUCUCCAGCCAGUAACGCUGAGAACAAAACAGCAGAGCUUCUGGCAUCUGUAUUUACCUCCAGAACAGACUCGAGGCAUGGCAUCUGGCAGGUUGGUCUGCCUUGGAUGCCUGCAGUGCUUGAAUCUGCGAGGCACCUUGUGUUGUUACCGCACAGUUUAUUCCCCCUCCCGAAAACAUUUCAGAAGCGUUCGCAACUCGCACUUCAGCCCCAGCAAAACAGGCCACGCUUGCUAAGAGAGGAGUCUGGGGUUUCCUGUGACUGGAGCCCUGCAGUGCAGUCAACAGAAAGGCUACACAAGUAUGUAAGAAUCAAAUGUACAGACUAAGCAGUUGGCCAAGUUUAGAAAUUUCUCUCUAAUAGCCACAUUAAUGAAGAGGAUAAUUAUCAUCAAUUCCUGCUACAUGGCAGGAAUGUGUAAUGGUAGUGGAAAAUAGCUCACAAACUCUGAAAAAUAACACCCAUGCUGAGGACUGAACACUGGGACAAAUCUCUCUGAUUUCUGAAGGAAAAGGCAGCAGAGGUAAUUGGAGAUGGCUCUCCCAGCACAUAGCCUGUUGUGGAAAAGCCAACAGAGUAAUAGAGGAUAACUAACAGAGUAAGUCCAUUCAUUUCCAUGAAGUUGUUACCAAGGGAUAGUUAAUCUCAAUGUACAGAAUGUAGUCAAAGUCUUUUUUUAUUCCCCAAGCAAUUUAUGUCCAGAGCAUAACCCUAGCAGUGGAAUUAGUAGACCACUAUCAAUCUGUAACCUGCAAUACCUUUCCCGUUGCUUUUACUGGUGUUGGGUCUCUUUCUUCUGAGGUUCUGAUUGUUUCCAGUAGAUUUGCAUUCACUUUGAAUUCUGCUAGACUUUCUAAUCACAUUUGAUGUUCCACUGAAGAGCUGCAGUUCUAAUACUGAGAAGUCAUGUCUAGUGCUGGAAACAGCAGAAUUGCCUCCAGAAAUACAUGAGAAAAAACCAAACAAAAAAGCCCCAACAUCUAAGAACUACUUUAAAAGAUUGUUGUGUAGGAAGGAGACAAAAAUCUACUACUCAUACUAUGCUUUCCUUUUGAUUGGGAGAAUCCACACCUAGUGACAAAUGGAAUUUUCUGCUCCUUCACAUUGUGGCUACUUGGUUUCUCUGCUUGAUCCAUCAUGAUGAAAGAUAAAUAGUUAAUAACUGUAGCUAUUUCUUGCUGAUAUGAAAUCCUAUCUACUGAUAAUUGAUAUCAUCAUCACCACCUUUUGCAGAGACUAGCUUUCAUGAUCAGCAUAGGUCAAAAUCUAAUUACAACUUAGAUGUGAAACCUCAGGUUUCUGCUAUCAAAUCUGUGGGCCACUGGCUGGUUAACUCCUGCAAUGCAGCACAGCCAGUUAAUCUGGUAUUGCAGCAGGUAAUACAGACUUGUAAAUGUAAACCUGCCACCUCCCACCAAACUCCUGGUUAUGCACUGAGGUUUGAGUCUCCUCAGAAUUUUUUUAAUUAAUUUGAAUUUGGAUGAGAAAAAAAAUUCAGCUGCGAAAAGACCAAGACUCUCCACCUAGGUUGUCCACCACCAGAACAUUUGUCUGAUCUAAUCAACCUGCACUUUCAGAGAGCAAUGUUUUAACAGUCAGUAAGAAAAUGUAUAUGAUUACCUGAGAGCAGCUGUCUCAUUGUGAGCAUUUGGACACUUCAUCACUUCUCAAAAAAAAACCCAACAACCAAACAACCAAAAACCAAACCAACCAACCAAUCGAAAACACCAAAGAACAAACAACAAAAAAAACCCAAAUCCCAAACAAUCAACCCAAAAAAACCUGCAACAGCUCACCAAAACUUUAUGAGAUCUUUAUAAGAUGCUUCAAAAUGUGACUAUCCCAAAGAGAUAUUAGAUGAAAUUAAAUCUUAUUCUCCUUUA